rnacentral:ncRNA from 1 species
UACUUUUGCGCCUCGAUUACCAGAGUGGUAGUCAUACAUAAUAAUUAUUUAAGUAAUAUUGGAAUG